GAUAAACGCUGGCGGCGUGCAUGAGACAUGCAAGUCGAACGGACGAGCGGGCUUGCCUGCUCGUUAGUGGCGGACGGCUGAGUAACGCGUAGGUGACCUGCCCCGAAGUGGGGAAUAACUGCCCGAAAGGGUGGCUAAUACCGCAUGUGGUGCCCGGUUCGUUCCGGUCACCAAAGCCGCAAGGCGCUUCGGGAGGGGCCUGCGUCCGAUUAGCUCGUUGGUGGGGUAACGGCUCACCAAGGCGACGAUCGGUAGGUGGUCUGAGAGGACGAUCACCCAGACUGGGACUGAGACACGGCCCAGACUCCUACGGGAGGCAGCAGUCGGGAAUUUUGCUCAAUGGGCGAAAGCCUGAAGCAGCAACGCCGCGUGAGGGAUGAAGGCCUUCGGGUUGUAAACCUCUUUUCUCAGGGACGAUGAUGACGGUACCUGAGGGAUAAGCCACGGCUAACUACGUGCCAGCAGCCGCGGUAAUACGUAGGUGGCGAGCGUUGUCCGGAUUUACUGGGCGUAAAGAGCGCGCAGGCGGUCGUGCAAGUCGGAUGUGAAAGCCCCCGGCUCAACUGGGGAGGGUCAUUCGAUACUGCUCGACUCGAAGGCGGGAGAGGGAAGCGGAAUUCCCGGUGUAGUGGUGAAAUGCGUAGAUAUCGGGAGGAACACCAGUGGCGAAGGCGGCUUCCUGGCCCGUUCUUGACGCUGAGGCGCGAAAGCUAGGGGAGCAAACGGGAUUAGAUACCCCGGUAGUCCUAGCCGUAAACGAUGGACACUAGGUGUUGGUGGUAUCAACCCCGCCAGUGCCGAAGCUAACGCAUUAAGUGUCCCGCCUGGGGAGUACGGCCGCAAGGCUAA
rnacentral:rRNA from 1 species